CUGAAAGUGACCAUAUUUGGAAAUAGGGUCUUGUCGCUAUAAGCAGUUAAGACGAGGUCAUAGUGGACUAGGCUGGGCCCUAAAUCCAAUGACUGCUGUCCUUAGAAGAGGAGAAGAAGAUACCAGGGAAGAAGGCCGCAAUGAUGGAGAUGGGUGGGACUGGAGUGAUGCAUCUACAAGCCAAGGACCUCUGGCCACCAUCAGAAGCUGGGAAGGAGGCACAGGACAGGUUCUCCCUCAGAGUCUCCAGAAGGAACCAACCUGCUCACGCCUUGAUUUCAGACUCUGGCCUCCAGAAUGCCCAGGGUUUCACUGGUUCCGAUCCUGGGCGCGGACGUGGCACCACUUGUCGGGCCAUGCUGGGGUGGCAUCCCAUGUGGCACAGCUGGAGGCACUCGAAACUGAAAUAUACAACUAUGUACUGGGGGCCUUUGGGGAGAAAAAGAAGAAGAAGAAACAAGAAAGAUUGGCAACAGAUGUUGGCUCAGGUGCCAAUGUUGAAAAAAGAAGUAGGGUGGUCUGGAGCAGAGAACAGUGCUGACACCGAGCACUAGCAAAAGGAUUCUGCUGCUGCCUUGUAGAGGGGAAACUCUGUAUGGACUACAGACAGGAAAUGACUCCUCCAGGUUGCCAGGCUGGCUGGUAGAAAAGUCAAGACAAACCAACCUUUGACAUGUCAGAUGCACUCCCAUAACCCUGACCGAUGCUUCCUCUAUGCCAGACACUGUGCUAAGGCCUCACAGAUAUAACACACUGAAGCUCAUGACCAUCCUAGGAGGUGAGCAUUAUUAUUCUCCCA
rnacentral:lncRNA from 1 species